rnacentral:rRNA from 1 species
GGGUGCUCAGCGCCCGACCUCCAACCCUUUGUUGUUAAAACUACCUUGUUGCUUUGGCGGGACCGCUCGGUCUCGAGCCGCUGGGGAUUCGUCCCAGGCGAGUGCCCGCCAGAGUUAAACCAAACUCUUGUUAUUAAACCGGUCGUCUGAGUUAAAAUUUUGAAUAAAUCAAAACUUUCAACAACGGAUCUCUUGGUUCUCGCAUCGAUGAAGAACGCAGCGAAAUGCGAUAAGUAAUGUGAAUUGCAGAAUUCAGUGAAUCAUCGAAUCUUUGAACGCACAUUGCGCCCCUUGGUAUUCCGAGGGGCAUGCCUGUUCGAGCGUCAUUACACCACUCAAGCUAUGCUUGGUAUUGGGCGUCGUCCUUAGUUGGGCGCGCCUUAAAGACCUCGGCGAGGCCUCACCGGCUUUAGGCGUAGUAGAAUUUAUUCAAUAACGUCUGUCAAUGGAGAGGACUUCUGCCGACUGAAACCUUUAUUUUUUACAGGUUGACCUCGGAUCAGGUAGGGAUACCCGCUGAACUUAAGCAUAUCAAUAAGCGGAGGAAAAGAAACCAACAGGGAUUGCCCUAGUAACGGCGAGUGAAGCGGCAACAGCUCAAAUUUGAAAGCUAGCCUUCGGGUUCGCAUUGUAAUUUGUAGAGGAUACUUUGGGUAAAACGCCAGUCUAAGUUCCUUGGAACAGGACGUCAUAGAGGGUGAGAAUCCCGUAUGUGACUGGAAACGUUGACCUAUGUAAAGUUCCUUCGACGAGUCGAGUUGUUUGGGAAUGCAGCUCUAAAUGGGAGGUAAAUUUCUUCUAAAGCUAAAUAUUGGCGAGAGACCGAUAGCGCACAAGUAGAGUGAUCGAAAGAUGAAAAGCACUUUGGAAAGAGAGUUAAAAAGCACGUGAAAUUGUUGAAAGGGAAGCGCUUGCAAUCAGACUUGUUUAAACUGUUCGGCCGGUCUUCUGACCGGUUUACUCAGUUUGGACAGGCCAGCAUCAGUUUCGGCGGCCGGAUAAAGGCUCUGGGAAUGU